rnacentral:rRNA from 1 species
AGAGUUUGAUCCUGGCUCAGGACGAACGCUGGCGGCGUGCUUAACACAUGCAAGUGGAGCGACGAACCAGGCUUCGGCCUGGGGCAGAGCCGCGAACGGGUGAGUAACACGUGGGUAACCCACCCCGGUGACCGGGACAACCCGAGGAAACUCGGGCUAAUACCGGAUGUACUGGUCUCUCACGAGGGAGAGCAGGAAAGAUAGCUUCGGCCUUCGCACCGGGACGGGCCCGCGGCGCAUUAGCUUGUUGGUGGGGUAAUGGCCUACCAAGGCGACGAUGCGUAGCUGGUCUGAGAGGACGAUCAGCCACACUGGGACUGAGACACGGCCCAGACUCCUACGGGAGGCAGCAGUGGGGAAUCUUGCGCAAUGCGCGAAAGCGUGACGCAGCAACGCCGCGUGGGGGAAGAAGGCCUUCGGGUUGUAAACCCCUUUCAGUUGGGACGAAGCUUCGCCGGUGAACAGCCGGCUGGAGUGACGGUACCUUCACAAGAAGCCCCGGCUAACUACGUGCCAGCAGCCGCGGUAAUACGUAGGGGGCUAGCGUUGUCCGGAAUCAUUGGGCGUAAAGCGCGUGUAGGCGGCCCGGUAAGUCCGCUGUGAAAGUCGGGGGCUCAACCCUCGGAAGCCGGUGGAUACUGUCGGGCUCGAGUACGGAAGGGGCGAGUGGAAUUCCUGGUGUAGCGGUGAAAUGCGCAGAUAUCAGAGGAACACCGAUUGCGAAGGCAGCUCGCUGGGACGUAACUGACGCUGAGACGCGAAAGCGUGGGGAGCAAACAAGAUUAGAUACCCCUGUAGUCCAAUCACUAGUGAAAUCCCGGCCGCCUGC